AGUGUCUUGGCGUUGAGGGCGACGAUGGGACCGAUGUGGAUGGGUGGCGCGUGAAAGUCGAGUCUUGAAGGGGGGUCUUCGCGGUGCAGAAGCCGCUCUCGUCGUGGGAUAUCCGAUGCGAAGAUUCCCACCGAGAAUAGUAGAA
ensembl:ncRNA K08B4.42 ncRNA